AACCUAUAGUUGCUUGCAACUACUGGUUUUAGGGAUAGUGGCAAACGGGUGAGUAACACGUGGAUAACCUGCCUUGAAAUCAUGAAUAGCUUAUCGAAAGAUGGGAUAAUACAUGAUAGUCUUACUUUUUCUUAAGAUUUUGUAAGUAAAGCUACGGCGUUUCAAGAGGGGUCCGCGUCCUAUCAGCUUGUUGGUGAGGUAAUGGCUCACCAAGGCUAAGACGGGUAGCUGGCGUGAGAGCGCGGUCAGCCACCAUGGAACUGAGACACGGUCCAUACUCCUACGGGAGGCAGCAAUUAGGAAUCUUGCGCAAUGGGGGCAACCCUGACGCACGCGACACAGCGUGGAGGAAGAAGGUCUUCGGAUUGUAAACUCCUUUUAUAUGGGACGAAUAGAUGACGGUACCAUAUGAAUAAGCACCUGCUAACUACGUGCCAGAAGCAUCGGUAAUGCGUAGGGUGCAAACGUUAUCCGGAUUUAUUGGGCGUAUAGAGAUGCGUAGGCGUUUUUGUAAGUCCUUAGUUAAAGACCACGGCUCAACCGUGGGAAAGCUUCGGAUACUGCAAAAAUUGAGAC
rnacentral:rRNA from 1 species